rnacentral:misc_RNA from 1 species
GAUGAAGAACGUAGCAAAAUGCGAUAAGUAAUGUGAAUUGCAGAAUUCAGUGAAUCAUCGAAUCUUUGAACGCACAUUGCGCCCGCCAGUAUUCUGGCGGGCAUGCCUGUUCGAGCGUCAUUUCAACCCUCAAGCACAGCUUGGUGUUGGGACUCGCGUUAAUUCGCGUUCCCCAAAUUGAUUGGCGGUCACGUCGAGCUUCCAUAGCGUAGUAGUAAAACCCUCGUUACUGGUAAUCGUCGCGGCCACGCCGUUAAACCACAACUUCUGAAUGUUGACCUCGGAUCAGGUAGGAAUACCCGCUGAACUUAAGCAUAUCAAUAAGCGGAGGA